GACGAACGCUGGCGGCGUGCUUAACACAUGCAAGUCGAACGGAAAGGCCCUGCUUUUGUGGGGUGCUCGAGUGGCGAACGGGUGAGUAACACGUGAGUAACCUGCCCUUGACUUUGGGAUAACUUCAGGAAACUGGGGCUAAUACCGGAUAGGAGCUCCUGCUGCAUGGUGGGGGUUGGAAAGUUUCGGCGGUUGGGGAUGGACUCGCGGCUUAUCAGCUUGUUGGUGGGGUAGUUGCUUACCAAGGCUUUGACGGGUAGCCGGCCGGAGAGGGUGACCGGCCACAUUGGGACUAAGAUACGGCCCAGACUCCUACGGGAGGCAACAGUGGGGAAUAUUGCACAAUGGGCGGAAGCCUGAUGCAGCAACGCCGCGUGCGGGAUGACGGCCUUCGGGUUGUAAACCGCUUUCGCCUGUGACGAAGCGUGAGUGACGGUAAUGGGUAAAGAAGCACCGGCUAACUACGUG
rnacentral:rRNA from 1 species